AUCCAGACGAUGAAUCCCAAAUUGGACGAAACACUUGUUCUGGAU
rnacentral:hammerhead_ribozyme from 1 species